UUCCAUUAUAGAUGCAAGAAAAAGAAGGUCCUUGCAGUUUCUGUCUGUCUGGUUGUGGCAGCCAAGAUUGAAUGAGGGAAUACAGGA
rnacentral:snoRNA from 1 species